CCCUUAGAUGUUCUGGGCCGCACGCGCGCUACACUGACGAAGUCAGCGAGCAUGUCCUACGCCGACAGGUGCGGGGAAUCUUGUCAAACUUCGUCGUGAUGGGGAUUGAUUAUUGAAAUUCUUGAUCAUCAACGAGGAAUUCCUAGUAAGCGCAAGUCAGCAGCUUGCGUUGAUUACGUCCCUGCCCUUUGUACACACCGCCCGUCGCUCCUACCGAUUGGAUGAUCCGGUGAGCUAUUCGGACUUUCGCAUUGUCGAUUUUCGGCUUUACGAGGGAAAGUCUCGCGAACCUUAUCAUCUAGAGGAAGGAGAAGUCGUAACA
rnacentral:rRNA from 1 species